CAAACUACACAUAACUUGUUGGUUAAACAUGGCUCCACGGACGCCAAAGUCAGUUGUAAAAUGAAUUUAUCACGUAGUCUAGAUCCAGUUCAAAAUCCUGUCUGGAACUGUCUAAAAUUUGAUCACAGCUUCAGAUAUUUCAAUGAAGACUCUAAUUUAGUCUGAUCAAGAAAAUAGAAAUGCCCUCGUUACAACUCCAUCAAAACUCCAUAAACUCCAUUGUUUGAACCCAGCUCUAUGACUAUUAAUAAAUUGAAGGCUGUGUUUUGAACCCAGCUCUAUGACUAUCAAUAAAUUGAAGACUGUGAUUUGAACCCACCUCGCAGACGAUAACAUGCCGCCCAAACAGAAACCAGUGAAUCGCAAACAGCUGCAGACGAUCGCACCCUACACCCCCACCAUCGACGUCACGCCCGCCAUUAUCUUCACCAUGAUCUUUGGUAUCGUCAUCAUCAUUGUCUUACAGCCAUAAAACAUGUAAUGUCCAUCUUUUUCUUACAGCCAUAAAACAUGUAAUGUCCAUCUUUUUAAACAUUUUAAACUCACCCUUUACACACCCUAUAUUGUAAAGUCUAGCGUAUCUAAUUGACUCUUGACACAUCCCAAUAGAAAAUAGAAGAUUAAUCAUUAAAACGAAAAUUUGUUAAAGCCAAAAAGUGAAAGAUUAAGUCAGUAAUGGGACGUUUCGAAGAACUGCAUAAUGCCGAUAUUGAUUGUGAAAAACAUGGAGAGUCUACUGUCUCGCACACCAUCGGGUAACUUUGGAGUUUUUGGGGUAGACAUCCAGACCGUUGCCACAGUUCUCGUCCUCAUCCUCAUCGCCUACAUCUACUUCUCCAACGUCAACCUGGGCUUGUUCCUGAGUUUGGUGGGCGUGGUGGUAGUCAAGUCCUUCAUCCUCUGUAACUAUGUGAACAGAAACGCUCGCAUGAGUGAAAUUAACUUACACUAAUUGAACGUAGAUGCGACAGUAAAGAAAGAGAACUAAA